rnacentral:rRNA from 1 species
CACGUAGGGCGCGAGCGUUGUCCGGAAUUAUUGGGCGUAAAGAGCUCGUAGGCGGCCUGUUGCGUCCGCUGUGAAAGCCCGGGGCUUAACCCCGGGUCGGCAGUGGAUACGGGCAGGCUAGAGGUAGGUAGGGGAAAAUGGAAUUCCCGGUGUAGCGGUGAAAUGCGCAGAUAUCGGGAGGAACACCGGUGGCGAAGGCGGUUCUCUGGGCCUUACCUGACGCUGAGGAGCGAAAGCGUGGGGAGCGAACAGG